rnacentral:rRNA from 1 species
UGGCAGAGGUUACUGCUAUCGGUGUUCGCCUAAGCCAUGCGAGUCAUAUGUAGCAAUACAUGGCGUACUGCUCAGUAACACGUGGAUAACCUGCCCUUGGGACCGGCAUAACCCCGGGAAACUGGGGAUAAUUCCGGAUAACGCAUAUGUGCUGGAAUGCUUUAUGCGUAAAAUGGAUUCGUCUGCCCAAGGAUGGGUCUGCGGCCUAUCAGGUAGUAGUGGGUGUAAUGUACCUACUAGCCGACAACGGGUACGGGUUGUGAGAGCAAGAGCCCGGAGAUGGAUUCUGAGACAUGAAUCCAGGCCCUACGGGGCGCAGCAGGCGCGAAAACUUUACAAUGCGGGAAACCGUGAUAAGGGGACACCGAGUGCCAGCAUCAUAUGCUGGCUGUCCGGGUGUGUAAAAUACACCUGUUAGCAAGGGCCGGGCAAGACCGGUGCCAGCCGCCGCGGUAACACCGGCGGCCCGAGUGGUGAUCGUGAUUAUUGGGUCUAAAGGGUCCGUAGCCGGUUUGGUCAGUCCUCCGGGAAAUCUGAUAGCUCAACUAUUAGGCUUUCGGGGGAUACUGCCAGACUUGGAACCGGGAGAGGUAAGAGGUACUACAGGGGUAGGAGUGAAAUCUUGUAAUCCCUGUGGGACCACCUGUGGCGAAGGCGUCUUACCAGAACGGGUUCGACGGUGAGGGACGAAAGCUGGGGGCACGAACCGGAUUAGAUACCCGGGUAGUCCCAGCCGUAAACGAUGCUCGCUAGGUGUCAGGCAUGGCGCGACCGUGUCUGGUGCCGCAGGGAAGCCGUGAAGCGAGCCACCUGGGAAGUACGGCCGCAAGGCUGAAACUUAA